UACGAAGGGUGCAAGCGUUACUCGGAAUUACUGGGCGUAAAGGGUGCGUAGGUGGUUUUUUUAAGUCCGUGUGAAAUCCCUGGGCUCAACCUGGGAAUGGCAGUGGAUACUGGAAAGCUAGAGUGCGGUAGAGGGUAGUGGGAAUUCCCGGGUGUAGCAGUGAAAUGCGUAGAGAUCGGGGAGGAACACCAGUGGGCGAA
rnacentral:rRNA from 1 species